GCCCUUAUAGCUCAGUGGUAGAGCGUCAGUCUUGUAAACUGAAGGUCUGCAGUUCGAUCCUGCAUGAGGGCA